rnacentral:rRNA from 1 species
UACAGAGGGUGCGAGCGUUGUUCGGAAUUAUUGGGCGUAAAGGGCGCGUAGGCGGUCUACUAAGUUGGAUGUGAAAACUCUGGGCUUAACCCAGAGCCUGCAUUCAAAACUGAUAGGCUGGAGUUCUGGAGGGGAUAGCGGAAUUCCUGGUGUAGCGGUGAAAUGCGUAGAUAUCAGGAGGAACACCGGUGGCGAAGGCGGCUAUCUGGACAGAAACUGACGCUGAGGCGCGAAAGCUAGGGGAGCAAACAGG